rnacentral:tRNA from 1 species
GCCGAUUUAGUACAGUGGUAGUACAGAUGCAUGGUAAGCAUCAGAGGGCAGUUCAAUUCUGCCAAUCGGCACCA